UACGUAGGGACCGAGCGUUGUCCGGAAUCAUUGGGCGUAAAGAGCGUGUAGGCGGCUUGUUAAGUCUUGCGUGAAAUCUCGGGGCUCAACCCCGAGCGGUCGUGAGAAACUGGCAGGCUAGAGUGCGGGAGAGGAGAGUGGAAUUCCUGGUGUAGCAGUGAAAUGCGUAGAUAUCAGGAGGAACACCGAUGGCGAAGGCAGGUCUCUGGGCUGACACUGACGCUCAUGCACGAAAGCGUGGGGAGCAAACAGG
rnacentral:rRNA from 1 species